rnacentral:rRNA from 1 species
AGAGUUUGAUCAUGGCUCAGGAUGAACGUUGGCGGCGUGCCUAACACAUGCAAGUCGAACGGGAAGCCGAUAUUCGUAUUGGUGGAGAGUGGCGCACGGGUGCGUAACACGUAGCUCACCUGCCCUGAAGACGGGGAUAACGUUGGGAAACCAACGCUAAUACCGGAUAAGCUCACGGUUCGUAGGAAGCUGUGAGAAAAGCGUUAGCGCUUCAGGAGGGGGCUGCGGCCCAUCAGCUAGUUGGUAGGGUAAAAGCUUACCAAGGCGACGACGGGUAGGGGGCCUGAGAGGGUGGCCCCCCACACUGGGACUGAGACACGGCCCAGACUCCUACGGGAGGCAGCAGUGAGGGAUAUUGCGCAAUGGGCGAAAGCCUGACGCAGCGACGCCGCGUGGGUGAAGAAGGGUUUCGGCUCGUAAAGCCCUUUUCUGUGUGACGAUAAUGACGGUAGCACAGGAAAAAGUGUCGGCUAACUACGUGCCAGCAGCCGCGGUAAAACGUAGGACGCAAGCGUUAUCCGGAAUUACUGGGCGUAAAGCGCGUGCAGGCGGGGGUUUAAGUGAGGCAUGAAAGCUCCCAGGCUAAACCGGGAGAGGCUGUCUGAUACUGGAUCACUGGAGUACGUUAGAGGGGUGUAGAAUUCCGCGUGUAGUGGUGAAAUGCGUAGAUAUGUGGAGGAACACCGGUGGCGAAGGCGACACUCUGGGACACACCUGACGCUGAGGCGCGAAAGCAUGGGUAGCGAACGGGAUUAGAAACCCCGGUAGUCCAUGCCGUAAACGAUGUACACUAGAUGUACGUGCCCCGGAAGGGGUGUGUGUGUCUAAGCAAACGCGAUAAGUGUACCGCCUGGGGAGUACGGUCGCAAGGCUAAAACUCAAAGGAAUUGACGGGGGCCCGCACAAGCAGCGGAGCGUGUGGUUUAAUUCGAGGAUACGCGAAGAACCUUACCUGGGUUAGACAUAGCGGUGGUAGAGAAGCGAAAGCAGAGUGACCUACGGGAGCCACGACAGGUGCUGCAUGGCUGUCGUCAGCUCGUGCCGUGAGGUGUUCGGUUAAGUCCGCAAACGAGCGCAACCCUCGGGUCUAGUUAUAAGUGUCUAGACCGACUGCCCUCGACAAGGGGGAGGAAGGUGGGGAUGACGUCAAGUCAGCAUGGCCUUUAUGUCCAGGGCUACACACACGCUACAAUGGGCAGUACAAAGGGUCGCGAAGCCGCGAGGUGGAGCCAAUCUCAGAAAGCUGUUCGUAGUUCGGAUUGUAGGCUGCAACUCGCCUGCAUGAAGUCGGAGUUGCUAGUAACCGCAGGUCAGCAACACUGCGGUGAAUACGUUCCCGGGCCUUGUACACACCGCCCGUCACGUCAUGGAAGCUGGUCACGCCUGAAGUCGGGGAGCUAACCGCAAGGAGGCAACCGCCGAAGGCGGGGCUGGUGACUGGGACGAAGUCGUAACAAGGUAGCCGUA